GCACUUACAAAGUACAUAUACUAAAAUUGGGUCGAUACAGAGCAGAUUCGCAUGGCCCCUGCACAAGGAUGGCACACAGAAACGUGAAGCGUUCCAGAUGCAC
rnacentral:snRNA from 1 species